rnacentral:rRNA from 1 species
UACGAAGGGGGCUAGCGUUGUUCGGAAUUACUGGGCGUAAAGGGCGCGUAGGCGGCGCAUCAAGUCAGGCGUGAAAGCCCCGGGCUCAACCUGGGAACCGCGCUUGAGACUGGUGGGCUCGAGUUCGGGAGAGGAUGGUGGAAUUCCCAGUGUAGAGGUGAAAUUCGUAGAUAUUGGGAAGAACACCGAUGGCGAAGGCAGCCAUCUGGACCGACAUUGACGCUGAGGCGCGAAAGCGUGGGGAGCAAACAGG